ensembl:lncRNA
CUUGGACUCCCUCUCUGUCCUUCCACUCCAGACCUGCGCAAUCCUUGAACAUUUUCCAUGUUCUCUUCCCUCCUCCAGAGGGAGGAGGGUAUAUGCCAAAGCCAGAGCCUCGUCCCUCUCAUCUGUCCUCAUUCUCCUCAACCUGUCAGCGGCAUUUGCCAUCGUGAACCACCAGAUCCUCCUGCCAUUCUCGCCGUACUUGGCAUUGCUGAAUCUGCCCUAUCCUGGUUCACAUCCUACCUGAAGAAUCGCAUCAGGUAACAUGGAAUGGCUCCUUGUCAUAACCCUGCACUCUUGACACUGGUGUCCCUCAAGGCUCUGUACUGGGACCCCCUCUGUUCUCCCUCUAUACCAUCACAUCACAGUUUUUCCUAUCACUGCUACGCUGACGACACUCAGCUAUUCCUAUUUCCCUUACUCUGACCCUGAUUGCAACAUGGAAAGCGGAAUGUCUGGCAGACAUCAGCACUUGGAUGACUGUCAAUCACCUGAGGCUUAACCUCAACAAGUCUGAGCUACUCCUAAUGCCAGGGAAAGAUUGCCCACACAUGGACUUACUGUCACUGUCGAGAACAUUACUGCAUCUCCUUCUCUAACUGCCAGAAACCUCGGUGUGGUACUGGACAUUCAGUUAUGCUGCACCGCAAACAUCACCGCAGUGGCCCGAUCCUGCAGAUUUGCCCUUUACAACAUCCGCAGGAUCCGGCCCUUCCUCACGAGGAAAGCAGCUCAGCUCCUGGUCGAAGCGCUCAUCAUCUCCUGCCGCGACUACUGCAACUCGCUCCUGGCUGAACACCCUGCCUCCAAGAUUAAACCUUUGCAGCGUAUCCAGAACGCUGCAGCGCGCCUCGUGUUCAACCUACCCAAGUCCUCCCAUUUGACCCCCCCCUCUUCCAGGAACUUCACUGGCUUCCUGUAGUAACUCGCAGAUUCAAGAUGAUGGUACUGGCAUACAAGGUGGUCAAUGGAACUGGCCCUGCCUACCUCCAAGCGUUGGUCAAACCACAUCGCAGCUCGGGCGCUCCACUCAAGCUACCUCAGUCGGCUACCGCCAUUGCUAACAGCAAGCAAAGGUCGAUCAUCAAAGUCCCAACUCUUCUCUGUUUUGGCACCGCUGUGGUGGAACGAGAUCCCUGCCGAUGUCAGGACCGCAGAGUCGCUCACCAGCUUCCGCAAAAGACUCAAAACUCACCUGUUCAGAGUUCACCUAGACCUAUGCGAUAUUUAUUCAUAGUACUUAAUUGUGUAGCAUCUAAGUCACCUGGUGUCGACUAAGAUUGAACAAACAAACAUCGGUUGAGACUAACGUCGGUUCAGACUAACGCCGGUUCAGACUAACGCCGGUUCAGACUAACGCCGGUUCAGACUAACGCCGGUUCAGACUAACGCCGGUUCAGACUAACGCCGGUUCAGACUUGUGUCUCUGGUCCCUUUUGUUCAAUAGUCUUAGAGAACGUUUGACCUAAAGCCGUGUGUAGUGGUGGAGGAGCUCCAUCAGAACGUGAACCUUGGGCCUCACCGUGUUCCAGCAGACUGCCGGCUGCCUUGGGGCCCUCAGCCUCCAGCAGACAGGUCUCUGCCUUGGGGCCCUCAGCCUCCAGCAGAGAGCCGGUUGCCUUGGGGCCCUCAGCCUCCAGCAGAGAGCCGGUUGCCUUGGGGCCCUCAGCCUCCAGCAGACAGCCGGCUGCCUUGGGGCCCUCAGCCUCCAGCAGACAGGUUUCUGCCUUGGGGCCCUCAGCCUCCAGCAGAGAGCCGGUUGCCUUGGGGCCCUCAGCCUCCAGCAGAGAGCCGGUUGCCUUGGGGCCCUCAGCCUCCAGCAGAGAGCCGGUUGCCUUGGGGCCCUCAGCCUCCAGCAGAGAGCCGGCUGCCUUGGGGCCCUCAGCCUCCAGCAGGGCGAACUCCGCCCUGAGCCCGUUGGGGAGGGCUGCUGGCCCCGCCCCCUGCCCCCCCUGGUCGGCAACCUUCCCCUGGGGGGUGAGGUCCAGGAGUGGGCUCAGAGGAUGGUCCUCCCAGGAGGGCGGGGGCAGGCUUUCCCCUGUUGGGGGGCUGGGCGACUGCGCCUCCUUCAGAGUCUCAGGCACUUCCUGCAUGCCUGCCUGGGGGGUCCCCACGCCCCCUACUGCCUGAUGCUGCUCGGCGGCGGCCAUUUUAUCCUCUGGAUCCUCCCCCUGUACCUCCUCUCCCUCCUUGCUGCUCUCCCACGCUGCUGCUGGGGCCGCUGGCUCUCGGGGCGGACCACGUGGUCUGGGGGGUCUGGGGUCCACUUGGGGUCUGGGGUACACUUGGGGUCUGGGGUCCACUGGGG